rnacentral:rRNA from 1 species
GACGAACGCUGGCGGCGUGCUUAACACAUGCAAGUCAAACGGAAAGGCCCUGCUUUUGUGGGGUGCUCGAGUGGCGAACGGGUGAGUAACACGUGAGUAACCUGCCCUUGACUUUGGGAUAACUUCAGGAAACUGGGGCUAAUACCGGAUAGGAGCUCCUGCUGCAUGGUGGGGGUUGGAAAGUUUCGGCGGUUGGGGAUGGACUCGCGGCUUAUCAGCUUGUUGGUGGGGUAGUGGCUUACCAAGGCUUUGACGGGUAGCCGGCCUGAGAGGGUGACCGGCCACAUUGGGACUGAGAUACGGCCCAGACUCCUACGGGAGGCAGCAGUGGGGAAUAUUGCACAAUGGGCGGAAGCCUGAUGCAGCAACGCCGCGUGCGGGAUGACAGCCUUCGGGUUGUAAACCGCUUUCGCCUGUGACGAAGCGUGAGUGACGGUAAUGGGUAAAGAAGCACCGGCUAACUACGUG